rnacentral:rRNA from 1 species
UGAAGCCCAGCUUGCUGGGUGGAUCAGUGGCGAACGGGUGAGUAACACGUGAGCAACCUGCCCCUGACUCUGGGAUAAGCGCUGGAAACGGCGUCUAAUACUGGAUACGAACCACAGUCGCAUGGCUGGUGGUUGGAAAGAUUUUUUGGUUGGGGAUGGGCUCGCGGCCUAUCAGCUUGUUGGUGAGGUAAUGGCUCACCAAGGCGUCGACGGGUAGCCGGCCUGAGAGGGUGACCGGCCACACUGGGACUGAGACACGGCCCAGACUCCUACGGGAGGCAGCAGUGGGGAAUAUUGCACAAUGGGCGCAAGCCUGAUGCAGCAACGCCGCGUGAGGGAUGACGGCCUUCGGGUUGUAAACCUCUUUUAGCAAGGAAGAAGCGAAAGUGACGGUACUUGCAGAAAAAGCGCCGGCUAACUACGUGCCAGCAGCCGCGGUAAUACGUAGGGCGCAAGCGUUAUCCGGAAUUAUUGGGCGUAAAGAGCUCGUAGGCGGUUUGUCGCGUCUGCUGUGAAAUCCCGAGGCUCAACCUCGGGUCUGCAGUGGGUACGGGCAGACUAGAGUGCGGUAGGGGAGAUUGGAAUUCCUGGUGUAGCGGUGGAAUGCGCAGAUAUCAGGAGGAACACCGAUGGCGAAGGCAGAUCUCUGGGCCGUAACUGACGCUGAGGAGCGAAAGGGUGGGGAGCAAACAGGCUUAGAUACCCUGGUAGUCCACCCCGUAAACGUUGGGAACUAGUUGUGGGGUCCUUUCCACGGAUUCCGUGACGCAGCUAACGCAUUAAGUUCCCCGCCUGGGGAGUACGGCCGCAAGGCUAAAACUCAAAGGAAUUGACGGGGACCCGCACAAGCGGCGGAGCAUGCGGAUUAAUUCGAUGCAACGCGAAGAACCUUACCAAGGCUUGACAUACACGAGAACACCCUAGAAAUAGGGGACUCUUUGGACACUCGUGAACAGGUGGUGCAUGGUUGUCGUCAGCUCGUGUCGUGAGAUGUUGGGUUAAGUCCCGCAACGAGCGCAACCCUCGUUCUAUGAUGCCAGCACGUUAU